AAAAUUGCUCCCUAAGUGAUUCAGAAUACAAAUUUUCAUUUCUCGCGCUCAACUCCCUCUUCUUCCCUUACCUUUCCCUGCGUCGUCCCCUAAAAAAAAACCUAAGACGCAUCUCAAAAUUUCAGUUCUCGUUGUUCGCGUCCCGUUCUCCUCUCCUCACUUCGAACACUCUUUCUCUUCGUUCCUCUGCAUCGCCGGCCACCACCUCCUUCAUGUCGCCGCUGCUGGUGUGGUGGUUGCGAUGGUUAUUGCGAUGGUUAUUGCGUUGUUGUGGUUGAUGGUGUUGUCCCGCCUCCGUGCUCGCCUUUCCUCUGUUUGUCGCCGCCAAUAAUGGUGGCCACCAACACAACAUCAUUUGCAAUCCAUCACUAAUUGGUAAGUUGAUUUCAAUUUCUCCUUCAAUUGAUUUAAUAAGUUCGUGAUUUAAAAUCCCAAAACCCUAACUAAUCGAUUUCAAUUUUCUUUUCCCCAUUGCUUGCGCCGCCCCUUCUGGUUGUUGGGUGCGACGGCGCUGUCGUCGCCGCCGCCUCCUUGUUCGUUGUUGUGAAUGCUAAUUAUGGUCUUGCUCUCCCCUUCCCUCUCCUCCAUUGUUGCUGCUCGUUUCUAGCCCAAGUUUCAUUGUCUCCUUCCCAAACAAUCCUCCUGAUCCAAAAAAGGAUAGUGCCGCAGUUCAGAAAUUCUUUGCCAAUAUGGAAGUCGCAUUCAGGGCGCAUCCACUUUGGAGCUGUUGUUCAGAAGAGGAGCUUAAAAGUGCUGGUGAAGGAGUGGAGACGUUUUUCACUGUAAUUCGGGCUUGUUGCGGGGUCGGAAUUAUUGGGUUUACCUUAUGGUUAAUUUUCUUGAUGCUAGGUCUUCAAAGAAACCUGCAUUUUAGCAUCGUCUUUCUAGAGAACGGCAAAUUCAUUGGCAAUCGUCGUCGACUUCUCCGUGCAGUAACAAUGAUGCUUGGAAAGCUGAAGGAACUCCCUAGGUACCAUGAAUAAUAACCAAAAUUUGUUGGGCAUGAAUCAGAAUGUGGCAGUGAUCGAGUUAUUACUCCCGCAACAGGUCACGAAUCAUAAGGUCUACACUCCGAGGAUUGCGCCUUAUGCGAGGAAUUUGAUGUGGUUUGUGAGCAAUGGGCUAAGUUUUUUACCAACAAGUAUUUAUUAUUGGCUUUAGCGCGCUUGAUCGAGUUGGUUUAGUUGUUAUAGAAUAAAUUUUAUAUUAAAAUGUAUGUUUAUGUUGAAAUUGGAACAUAUAUUUAAAUGUAAUAUGUGCACUUUGGUUUUGGGAUA